rnacentral:rRNA from 1 species
UACGAAGGGGGCUAGCGUUGUUCGGAAUUACUGGGCGUAAAGGGUUCGUAGGUGGCCAACUAAGUCAGACGUGAAAUCCCUCAGCUCAACUGGGGAACUGCGUCUGAUACUGGUCGGCUUGAGUGCAGGAGAGGAACGCGGAAUUCCAGGUGUAGCGGUGAAAUGCGUAGAUAUCUGGAGGAACACCGGUGGCGAAGGCGGCGUUCUGGACUGCAACUGACACUGAGGAACGAAAGCCAGGGGAGCAAACGGG